rnacentral:tRNA from 1 species
GGAGAGAUGGCUCAGUGGUUAAGAGCACUGGCUGCUUUCCAGAGGUCCUGAGUUCAAAUCCCAGCAACUACA